CGAACGGCUCAUUAAAUCAGUUAUCGUUUAUUUGAUAGUACCUUACUACUUGGAUAACCGUGGUAAUUCUAGAGCUAAUACAUGCUAAAAACCCCGACUUCGGAAGGGGUGUAUUUAUUAGAUAAAAAACCAAUGCCCUUCGGGGCUCCUUGGUGAAUCAUAAUAACUUCUCGAAUCGCAUGGCCUUGUGCCGGCGAUGGUUCAUUCAAAUUUCUGCCCUAUCAACUUUCGAUGGUAGGAUAGUGGCCUACCAUGGUGGCAACGGGUAACGGGGAAUUAGGGUUCGAUUCCGGAGAGGGAGCCUGAGAAACGGCUACCACAUCCAAGGAAGGCAGCAGGCGCGCAAAUUACCCAAUCCCGAUACGGGGAGGUAGUGACAAUAAAUAUUGAUCCGGGGCUCUUUCGGGUCUCGGAAUCGAAAUGAGAACAAUCUAAAUCCCUUAACGAGGAACAAUUGGAGGGCAAGUCUGGUGCCAGCAGCCGCGGUAAUUCCAGCUCCAAUAGCGUAUAUUAAAGUUGUUGCAGUUAAAAAGCUCGUAGUUGAACCUUGGGUCUGGCUGGUCGGUCCGCCUCACCGCGUGUUACUGAUCCGGCCGGACCUUUCCUUCUGGGGAGCCCUAUGGCCUUCACUGGCCGUAGGGGGAACCAGGACUUUUACUGUGAAAAAAUUAGAGUGUUCAAAGCAGGCAUUUGCUCGGAUACAUUAGCAUGGAAUAAUAGAAUAGGACGUGCGGUUCUAUUUUGUUGGUUUCUAGGACCGCCGUAAUGAUUAAUAGGGAUGGUCGGGGGCGUCAGUAUUCAGCUGUCAGAGGUGAAAUUCUUGGAUUUGCUGAAGACUAACUAUUGCGAAAGCAUUCGCCAAGGAUGUUUUCAUUAAUCAGUGAACGAAAGUUAGGGGAUCGAAGACGAUCAGAUACCGUCGUAGUCUUAACCAUAAACUAUGCCGACUAGGGAUCGGACGGGGUUUUUUUAAUGACCCGUUCGGCACCUUACGAGAAAUCAAAGUUUUUGGGUUCUGGGGGGAGUAUGGUCGCAAGGCUGAAA
rnacentral:rRNA from 2 species